rnacentral:rRNA from 1 species
CAGCAGCCACGGUAAAACAGAGGGUGCGAGCGUUAAUCGGAUUUACUGGGCGUAAAGCGUGCGUAGGCGGCUUUUUAAGUCGGAUGUGAAAUCCCUGAGCUUAACUUAGGAAUUGCAUUCGAUACUGGGAAGCUAGAGUAUGGGAGAGGAUGGUAGAAUUCCAGGUGUAGCGGUGAAAUGCGUAGAGAUCUGGAGGAAUACCGAUGGCGAAGGCAGCCAUCUGGCCUAAUACUGACGCUGAGGUACGAAAGCAUGGGGAGCAAACAGGAUUAGAUACCCCCGUAGUCCCUGUCUCUUAUAU